rnacentral:rRNA from 1 species
ACGAACGCUGGCGGCACGCUUUAUACAUGCAAGUCGUACGAACGGCAUUUGUGUUUACAUAGAUGUUAGUGAGUGGCGGACGGGUGAGUAACACGUGGGAAUUUACCUUAUAGUGGGGGAUAACCAGUAGAAAUACUGGCUAAUACCGCAUAAUCCCUUAGGGGGAAAGAUUUAUCGCUAUAAGAUAAGCCCGCGGCUGAUUAGCUAGUUGGUGGGGUAAGGGCCUACCAAGGCGACGAUCGGUAGCUGUUUUGAGAGGAAUAUCAGCCACACUGGGACUGAGACACGGCCCAGACUUCUACGGAAGGCAGCAGUAGGGAAUAUUGGACAAUGGGGGAAACCCUGAUCCAGCGAUGCCGCGUGAGUGAAGAAGGCCUUAGGGUCGUAAAGCUCUUUCGCCGAUGAAGAUGAUGACUGUAGUCGGAGAAGAAGUCCCGGCAAACUUCGUGCCAGCAGCCGCGGUAAUACGAAGGGGACUAGCGUUGUUCGGAAUUACUGGG